CUGGUGAGGAAUCAGUAGAGUAGAAAGCGGCAACAAGGGACUUCCCAUGCAAAGUACGUCUGAAUAACUGCUUGUCCAAACAGGGGAAUUGAAACAAACUGAAAGAGUGGAAUGAGGAAGAUACUGAAACAACAGCAAGGAUUGAAAUGAAAGCUGAAAAAGGAAGAAAAAGCAGCAUCAGAAAGAGUUUAACAGAAAAUGUCUGACAGAAAAAAAGGCAGAACCAGAAAGCAAGUCAGAAAUUAAGAUAUUUAAAUGAAUUGAUGAAUGACGAAAAUUGAAUUUGAAGACGAGGCCUACCUCUAAUACUCCCAGUGCAGCAGCUCUGUGCAGCAGUGAAGCAGCACAAAGCAGCUGCCUGAACCCAAACAUCACUUCUCCACAGUUGCCUCCCCUGGCUGAGAACAGCCUCACACUUACCUUCAUCCACCAACCAGAAGGAAGAGAAGAAUAAAAUCAAGCGUGCCACAAGAAAGGUCAGAAUACGACACAACCUAACAAGCUCCAGAAAGCAGCCCGCAUCAGUCAGAGCUGCAGGCCUGAGCAGAUGAAAAACAAGAAAAAACAAGCAGCUCUUUUGUGGCUGAGGUGAAAACGGACACAGGACACAGCCAGCUUCAGGGAACAAACCUGGCGGGCAGCAUUCCAGCACCAGCGACUGUCCUGCCGCAGCUUCAGACUCUUGACAUGGAGGAAAUCAUGGUGGAAACGGUCCUGGCGCCGUGGGAAAUACUGCUGGUCAUUUUUGCCACAGUGCUGAUAAUGAGUUUUCUCAUGUUUCUGCCCCCUGCUGCAGUGGUGACCUGGAGAAUGAAGCGUGUGCCGCAGAUCUCACUGCAUGGCUCGGUGUGAGCGAGCCCUGGUACAAGCUCUAACACCACCGAUCCCUUCAAAGGGUGGUUCAGAAUGAUAACAUCUCUCAAGACCACUCAUACUACCUCAGAUCUAUCCAACAGUGAUGGGUUUCACAGUCUAUUGCUGCUAAGUUCCUGUGAAAAGAGAAUGUGUACAAUUUUGUCUUCACACACUACAGUUCUCAGCACUUUGCCUUCCAUUUUUUUUGGCUAUGUUAUAAUUACCAUUGUUGGUUAGUUCCUAGACUGACUUCUUCUAUUGCAUUAUAAUGGACUGAAAACAAGACUGAAAGAGAAGCAAGCAUAAUACAGCAUUGUAUUCCCUUAAGUAAUAUCAGGAAAGGCUCUCUUUCUACUGUUACACUGUAAGUAUUACCAAAGCCUUUAGCUGAGAUGACUGACAGUUAUGCAGGUGGACAUAUCAAAAGCAUGCAGUAUACUCUGGGGUGGUAGUGGUUUAGUCUGGUUGGACUAUGAACCCUACAAAAUAACAACAGAGAAUCGUGUAAUAAAUACACCUCUUGUGCUUCUUUUGUCUCAUCUGAAAACUUACUGGCCUGAAAUGUUAUUUCGUUUCCUUCCUCCUAUGUGAAUUUUCCUCUCUCUGCAAAUCCUGAGUGCCAGAACACAAAGCCCUCCCCAGCCCAGGCUUAGAGCAGGAACAUGAGGGGUAGCCCGAUGCUCAGACAUGCCCAGCCAGACGCUGACUUGAAGUUAAUGCAAACAUACAGCAACUAUUUGUCUGGAUUACAUUAUGCAAAUUUACUCUGGGAAAUAAUACGAUUCUUUUCUUUAGUUUUUAAUUGUCAUAUAGGCUUAUUGGUUCAACUUCACUUUCUCUUAUAUAAAUGGUAACUUGGAUGGCAGGAAUAGAACAAAACUGAUUCUCUGCAAGUUUAUGGAAAAAACUCCAACAACCCAGACUCCAUCUUAAUAUCGAAUUCAUGCCACAUCAAAUUAAAGUUUUCCAGAUUAACUCUUCAACAUUGUGGGACACUUACUAGCAGGAUUUCUGAUGCACAGAUUUAACAGUUUCUGUUAACUUACAAUAGGAGUGGGUUUGAUUUCCUCAUGAAAUCCAAUACUGGGUUUCUUUUCUUUUGUUGAUUGGUUUGGAAAGCUCACUAGAAUAGAUUAAUAUAACUCAGAGGAAAAUAUUUUUUACACCAGUAGGAAAAUGAUACUGGGAAGUGCUCAGUGCUUCAGAUAUUUUAUUUGACCACGAGCUGAUAAUGAAUUGGCUGGAAAUGAAAGACUGAAAGACAUUAUAAUUUCAUUUGAUAGCAAUUAUUUGUUUGCCAGAAAUAAACAAACCCACCAGAGAUUGAAAAACCAUUGCUUUUCUUUAAGACUACAGCACUUUUGUCUCCACCACAAUGACUUCAGUUACUGCCUCAUACUUUAUAAGCAGUCAAAGCAGCCAACUCAUCCCUUUGUUGGUGUAAUUGUCUGCUACACUCAUAGUCAUAUGACUGUCUGGUUCUGGGCCCAAAAGCAACCGAUGGUUUUUUACUUGUAAUGACUGGAUUCUGAGCCUGAAAAAGUGUGUAAUUUUAUAUAUCUGAAUCAUUAAACUGAUUAAUGAGGUAAAGGUCAGUUAUGUAUUACCUACCACAUAACUAUGCUAUCUGUGCCAAAGAGAUUUACAGGAAUAGGGAAAAGGUAAAGAAGAGAGAGGAAACACAAACAGAUGAGCUGGCUGUCUUCAGAUCUAUGGCUUCAGUGUUUGCUCAACAUAAAAAAAUUAAAACAAAACCCCAAUCACGGAUUCCACUGAAAACCAAGCAAGCAGUAACUAAGCUUUUUGUUUAGAUUUCGUAAUAUUUCACAUGCAUGUCUGUUCUGUAGCUACAGCUCCACAAAUAAAUUGGAUCAUCAGUGCUAA